CUUUCCUUCCCUGUAAAAUGGAUGGUUGUUUGGAAGAUUCACUUCAAAUGUUUAAAUUAAAGCGUGCACCAAAUACCAAAGAGCAAAUGUUUGAAUUAGCAUUCAAAACAUGCACUGCUAACAUUGAGGUACAAAGUAAUACAAAGAAGAUAUGUUUCCGCCAAGCAAAUCUUAAUGAAGACCUUUAUGACCGCUGUAGACCAGCUACAGAUAAAUACCGGCACAUUCUUAUACAUAUGGAUUCUGUUUUCACUUUUGUUAUUAAAUGUGAUGACCUCCAGGGAUGGUGGUGUUUACCUGAGGAUUUUCCAAAAUUUCAAAAUCUGACGAUCACAUGGAAGUUGAUAUACCUCCAUGGUACCGUUACAGAAGAGCUAUGGGUACUUUCUGCAUCCUCCGGCAAUAAUAGCCAAGCAUGCUCACAGCCAAUAAUUUACACUACACCAACGCCAGUGAAAGUUACUCGUGCUCCUAAGGAAGAUAACAGUGGUUUAUCAACUCCCAGAAUACUAGGGAUAGUGUUUGGUGUAUUGUCAGCUCUCUGCACAUGUUGUGUGGGUGGAUAUUGCUGCUGCUGCAAGAAGAGAAAAUCACAAGGAACACCAGAUACUGUCACUGAUGUCAAACUGUCUAUGCUUGAUGAACAAAAUGACAACCAUUAAAUUCAUACUUUGGGUCAAGUAAUGGAGUUGAAAUGAAUUGAAUUCAGAAUUCAAGGUGACGGAAAGCACUAUUGCCAUUUGAAAUUUGGAUGAAUGUAUUCUGUGCCUAAAAGAAGAAACACUGUUUAUGUUAAAUGCAAUUGGAAAUGUUUGACACUUAUCACUAAUGGAAGUAAUAAUGUGAUACCUGUGAUUUUGUUUCUUUCAUGGAGCUGAAUACAACUAUUUAGUUGUAUAAUUUCAUGGCAGUCUAUGGCAUUAUUUUAUGUUAAAAUUGAAAUUGAUUGCUAGCUUAUGUUACCUAUCUUUACUAAAAUGUUAAUGAAGAGUAUCAAUUUGUUAUUGCAAUUUGUAGGGGCAGUGUGAUUGUUUUGUUUGUUUUGUUUUGUUUUUUAUAUAUUGGGGAAGAAUGGCUACAUUUUUAGAGGUUGAUAAAAGUCUACCUCAUUAAGAUCAAGAAUUGUGAAGUUACAUUGUAUCACUUAAAGAUCAAGGAACAAAUAAACCAUCAGCAGCAGAAACAAAGAUAAUACUUACUAAUGUGACUUUUCAGGAAUGGACAGAAAUUUGUCAAAAUUGUUAUAUAAUGCAAUUUGGAAAAUGCUAGAUGAUAAAGAAAACCCAAAUGUUUAUUACCAAUAUGGUUGUUUAGAGUAUUUGUAUUUAGAGAAAUGGUCUGCUGGUUGUUUAAUUUUUUUUCCUUCAUUCUAUCUAUAUUUGUCUUUUCAUAACAAGAUUCAGAUGUAAGUAUCUCAUUUAUAAUUAAGAAAAAAAUAGUUUUCUUUAAAAUAAAGAGCAUCGUAAAGGUAGAGGGGGUAUAUGUCAGAAAAAAAUAGAUAUGAAGUGAAAGUGUUAAUUCUUGAUAAGCAGACAUCUUUAUUCCUUAAAUGGAGUAUUGUCACUCCUUAAUUUUUCCCCAAAAAUAUUUAAAUUUAUGAUCCAUGAAGAAAAAUGAGUUUAAAACUAUUUUGCAUUGUCUGCUUAUUGUCCAAAAUGCAUGAUUUUUUUUAAGAAUAUAAAGUUUGGUCCUUUGCGGUUUAAAAGGAAUAACCAUGACUUUUUUCUGAUAUCAGAUUAUUUGAACUCAAUGAAGAAAUUCUCAUCAAUCUUUUAAAUUCUACCUAUUUCUAAACCUAAUACAAAUAUUUUGUUUUAUUCUAAGACAAUAUACAGUUAUUCUAUAUAUUUCCGUUAUUUAGAUUAUAUUGUUAUUUGAUUGGUGCUUAUGUAGACUAGUCGCUAUAUUUUACAAUUUAUAUUAUAUUGUUAUUAGAUAAGUGUUUACAUGGACUCUUGGCAUUAUUGUUUUAUAUAUCAGUUUUUAAACUUUUUGAAACAUAUUUUUUAUCAAUUUAUUCAAUACACAAGUUACUUUUAUACUCUAUACUAGAUCUUAUGUUUUAUAGUUUUCCUGGACUUAAAAAGUUUACAUUAUAUUUUUGCUUUAAAUGGAAAUGUUCCUAAUAAAAGUUGCAUAAAUAAAGGAAAGAAGUGCAAUUCUUCCAUUAUUGGUUAAUGUUAUUUUUCUGUUUUUAAAACUUGAUUAGUUUUAGAUAUCUUUUCCCUCUUUUUUCCAGUGACUUGAUAUGUUAAUUUUGGGGAGCAAUUUUAAAUAGAUUACCAUCAUCAGUGUACACCAUCAGAAAAAAUAUUCUAAAGCAAUUAAACUUAUUCUGAUAUAACAAUAUUUUGUCAUUUAUUACUAUAAUUUACAUGUUCAGUUAAUAAGAUAUGAUUGAAAAUAAAACUACCCCUACCUGAAAAAGCCGUUUUAAAAAGAUAAUUUCCAAAUUUGAAUCCUUUUCUUUUAUUUUCUUAUAUUAUUUUUUUCAAGCUUUAGUGCAUUAAAAUAGAAAUAACAAUACUGUAGUUGAAGACUUGUCACCAGUAAAACUGCAUUUGCCACAGCAAAACCUUUAAUUGAUGGCAGCAAACCUUCAAAUGUCUGUAAUUUGUCCUGGUUACUUUUGUUUCUUAGAUACUAUACGCAAUAGGUCAACUAUAUUUAUAAGCAUAUUUGGUGUAUGGAAUGACAGUAAGGUGUACAUAUAUUUUUUCAGUUUAGUUUAUCUGACUUUUACCUCAUUUUCCUAGAUCAUGAUAAGUUUAUGUAAUAGUUGUAGUAAAGCUUUAUAUUUAGGACUAUCAACAAAAAAUCAAUGGUCAGUAAAGGUUUCAUUUCAGCAUGUGCACUCUAGUUUACAGUAAGCAUUUACUUGGAUUGUUAUGAAAUUUGGAAAGAAGCUUAUCUUCAAGAUAAAAAAAAGCAUCUAAAGACAGUAGAAAUCAAAGGCAAGCCUUCAGGUUCCUAAUACUUUUGGGCCAUUUUUUGGGGGUUUAUUUGCACUAUGUGGAAAUUGUUAUUCAAAAGUGCUAGUCUGUAAUUAUAAAACAGCUGCAAAUGCAUGAACAUAGUAAACUUAGCAUAUAAAUACUGCUGUUUGAUAACAUGGAGCAGCAGAAUAUUUUAUUAAGAUCCCGGUUCAUAUACUUCCCCGAUUCUGAUACAAAAUAAUUAAUGAUACUUUCUUCAUCUGCAUGUCACCAUGGCAACGAUAAAUUUGAUUUCCUGUUUUAACUUGCUAGGUAGUUAGCUAUGGUUUUACAACAUUUUCCCAUUUUCGGAAACUCUACGAAUCAGGAGGAAAUUUUAGCAAAAUUCUGAAUGUUUUACACUUAUGCAUUAACUUUUUAUAUGUGAACACCAUGUGUGUAGUUAUAGAUGAUAUCUUAAUACAUCUUUGGAGCUAUAUACAUGUUACAUGUCUAAACAGGGGAUGUUGUUUUUGGUUUUGUUCUUGUUAUUGAACUACCUCUUUUUAUCAAGAAAAAUCUUAUUUCAAGAUUUUAUAAACCUGAUUUUUAUUUUUUAUAUGUGAAAUCUAUUUGAAAUAGUUGUUUACUUUAUUUUUAAUAUAUACCUAACUGCUUUAUUUUUUUUUGUCCUUAUGAAAAAUUAGAUGCUUGAAUAUGUUUUGUUACAGUAAUCUCUUAUGAGAUUUUCAGUCUUUAACUCUAAAAGUAUAUAAAAAAUAUAGUCUUUAUAGGUAAUUUAAAAUGAAAAUAUGUCAGAUUAGAUCUAUGGAUUUGUUUAGAAUUUGGACUUGUGGUUUACUUGUUAUACACUGUGUUAUGAGCAUUAUAUCAACUCAAACAUUGUGCUGCCAUUAUUAAAUUCUCUGCAAAAAAAUGCACAAAACUUUCUGUGCUGAAGCUCUCAUAAUAUCUGUAUUUUUUUCUUUUGAAAGAGAACUCAGUGCAACGUAACAUGUCUUUAGACAUUAGGUAUACAUAUUUAGCGUUACCACAGAAUUUUGUGCUCCUUUAUGGAUAAAGUUAGUGGUGGUGAGCUUUUCUCAUCACUUGGCGUCCGUCAUCCGUUGUCGUCAUCGUCCUUAGUCGUCGUUAAAUUUUACAAAAAUCUUCUCCUCUGAAACUACUUGGCCACAAUCAUCAUUAUGGUAUCUAGUUUAAAAAAUGUGUCCGAUGACCCCGCCUGCCAACCAAGACAUGGCUAAAAAUAGAACAUAUGGGUAAAAUGCAGUUUUUGGCUUAUAUCUCUGAAACUAAAGCAUUUAGAGCGAAUUUGAUCUGGGGUAAAAAAUUUCAUCAGGUUAAGAUCUAUCUGCCCUCAAAUAUUUAGACAAAUCAGACAACCUAUUGGGUUGCUGCCUCUGAACAUUGGUAAUUUUAAGGAAAUAUUGCAGUUUUUGGUUAUUAUCUUAAAUAUAUUUAUAGAUAGAGAUAAACUGUAAACAGCAAUAAUGUUCAGCAAAGUACGAUCUACAAAUAAGUCAAUAUGACCAAAAUUUUCAAUUGACCCCUUAAGGAGUAAUUGCCCUUUAUAGUCAAAUUUUUAACAAUUUUUUUCGUAAAUUUUUUUAAUCUUUUACAAAAAUCUUCUCCACUGAAUUUACUGGGACAAAUAGAAUUAAACUUAGCCGAAAUUUUCAAUAGGGUAUCUUGAUUGAAAAAUGUAUCCGAUGACACUGUCAUCCAACCAACAUGGCCACCAUGGCUAGAAAUAGAACAUAGGGAUUUACUAUAGAAGUCUAAGGGAAAAAAUUGUAAAAAAACAAUUUCAAAUGGUCACAACUUAAAAACUACUUUAAAAAAUGAUAAGGGUCUUCAGUAACUAUUGUAAGUCUAGUUACUAGUGGGAUGACCUGCUUUUAAUUUAACUACUGGGCAAAAAUUAAACCAAACUUGGCCUCUAUCAUUAUUAAGGUAUCUAAUACUAUUUAUUAUGAUUUAAACCUUAUUUUACAUGAUUUCCAAAACCACAGAAGAUGCAGGUGAGCGACACAGACUCUUGAGAGCCUCUAGUUUUAUCUAAAAGUGAAAAAUAUUUCGAGAAUGAAACUCAAUUAAACAUGGCAUUUAUUUUGAUUCCAAAGACAGUAAAACUUAUAACGUUAUCUAAAUAACAGAUAGAUUUCAUCCUAACAGGCAAAUUGACAUGACAAUUUUAUGGGUAAUUAUUAUUUAUUUUAUAAAGUGUGUCACUUUUAUUGUAACGCUAAGAGUUUUGUUAGCUUUAAAUGUAAUAUCAAGUUUUAAAUAAUUAAGAUCAUACAAAAAUUUGAUAUUAAACAGUCA